rnacentral:rRNA from 1 species
AUUGAACGCUGGCGGCAGGCUUAACACAUGCAAGUCGAACGAUGAAGAUAUAGCUUGCUAUAUCGGAUUAGUGGCGGACGGGUGAGUAGCACUUAGGAAUCUACCUUUUAGCGGGGGAUAGCUCGGGGAAACUCGAAUUAAUACCGCAUAAUUUCUACGGAAUAAAGAGGGCUUUUAGCUCUCACUAGAAGAUGAGCCUAAGUAAGAUUAGCUAGUUGGUGGGGUAAAAGCCUACCAAGGCGACGAUCUUUAGCUGGUCUGAGAGGAUGAUCAGCCACACUGGGACUGAGACACGGCCCAGACUCCUACGGGAGGCAGCAGUGGGGAAUAUUGGACAAUGGGGGCAACCCUGAUCCAGCCAUGCCGCGUGUGUGAAGAAGGCCUUUUGGUUGUAAAGCACUUUAAGCAGUGAAGAAGACCUAUUGGUUAAUACCCAAUAGCGAUGACAUUAACCGCAGAAUAAGCACCGGCUAACUCUGUGCCAGCAGCCGCGGUAAUACAGAGGGUGCAAGCGUUAAUCGGAAUUACUGGGCGUAAAGCGAGCGUAGGUGGUUAAAUAAGUCAGAUGUGAAAGCCCUGGGCUCAACCUAGGAACGGCAUCUGAAACUAUUUAACUAGAGUAGGUGAGAGGGAAGUAGAAUUUCAGGUGUAGCGGUGAAAUGCGUAGAGAUCUGAAGGAAUACCGAUGGCGAAGGCAGCUUCCUGGCAUCAUACUGACACUGAGGCUCGAAAGCGUGGGUAGCAAACAGGAUUAGAUACCCUGGUAGUCCACGCCGUAAACGAUGUCUACUAGCCGUUGGGGAACUUGAUUCCUUAGUGGCGCAGCUAACGCAAUAAGUAGACCGCCUGGGGAGUACGGCCGCAAGGUUAAAACUCAAAUGAAUUGACGGGGGCCCGCACAAGCGGUGGAGCAUGUGGUUUAAUUCGAUGCAACGCGAAGAACCUUACCUGGUCUUGACAUAUACAGAAUCUAGCAGAGAUGCAAGAGUGCCUUCGGGAAUUGUGAUACAGGUGCUGCAUGGCUGUCGUCAGCUCGUGUCGUGAGAUGUUGGGUUAAGUCCCGCAACGAGCGCAACCCUUAUCCUUAGUUGCCAGCACGUAAUGGUGGGGACUGUAAGGAGCGGCCAGUGACAAACUGGAGGAAGGCGGGGACGACGUCAAGUCAUCAUGGCCCUUACGACCAGGGCUACACACGUGCUACAAUGGUAAGUACAAAGGGAAGCAACACAGCGAUGUGAAGCCAAUCUCAAAACGCUUAUCUCAGUCCAGAUUGGAGUCUGCAACUCGACUCCAUGAAGUCGGAAUCGCUAGUAAUCGUGGAUCAGAAUGCCACGGUGAAUACGUUCCCGGGCCU